rnacentral:rRNA from 1 species
AUUGAACGCUGGCGGCAGGCCUAACACAUGCAAGUCGAACGAGUGGCGGACGGGUGAGUAAUGCCUGGGAAACUGCCCGAUGGAGGGGGAUAACAACUGGAAACGGUAUCUAAUACCGCAUACUAUCGGAGUUGACCAGAUUGGAUUGACUAGUGGGUGGGGUAUAGGCUCACCUAGGCGACGAUCCCUAGCUGGUCUGAGAGGAUGACCAGCCACACUGGAACUGAGACACGGUCCAGACUCCUACGGGAGGCAGCAGUGGGGAAUAUUGCACAAUGGGCGCAAGCCUGAUGCAGCCAUGCCGCGUGUAUGAAGAAGGCCUUCGGGUUGUAAAGUACUUUCAGCGGGGAGGCGUUACCCGCAGAAGAAGCACCGGCUAACUCCGUGCCAGCAGCCGCGGUAAUAC